ACCAGCCACACGAUGACCGGGCUGUGGCCCAUCUGCGCCGCGGCGUGCAGGGGGGUCAUGCCAUCGUGGGCGCUCACGUGCGGGUCUGCACCGCACUCCUGUACCAGAGGUGCAACUGAGGCUCAGGGAUUGUGACUUGCGAAAGAUCACACAACAGAUGCAACUGGAAAAAAGAUGAUAUGAACAAACUGUAACUAUUAAAUAAGUCCCUCUAAUGACACCAAAGGAACAUGGCAUGCUUGGAAGGGUUUGUUGGAAAUCUCUGCCCAACAUUGGUGCCAGCUUACUGCUGUCAUUGCUACAAAGGACAAGGAGUGACCUGCCCACAGAACCAGAUUCAGGCCAGAGAACAUCAUCUCCAGCAGCCCUUAACCCCACCAAUAAUUCCUGCCUCAAGGGAGGCCAGAGGGGCUGCUACCCACAAGUAGAUGGCGUUGUGGGGGAGGCUGCUCUGAAUAAAAGUCACAGAACCUUCA